GAUGAACGCUGGCGGCGUGCCUAAUACAUGCAAGUCGAGCGAACAGACGAGGAGCUUGCUCCUCUGACGUUAGCGGCGGACGGGUGAGUAACACGUGGAUAACCUACCUAUAAGACUGGGAUAACUUCGGGAAACCGGAGCUAAUACCGGAUAAUAUAUUGAACCGCAUGGUUCAAUAGUGAAAGACGGUUUUGCUGUCACUUAUAGAUGGAUCCGCGCCGCAUUAGCUAGUUGGUAAGGUAACGGCCUACCAAGGCAACGAUGCGUAGCCGACCUGAGAGGAUGAUCGGCCACACUGGAACUGAGACACGGUCCAGACUCCUACGGGAGGCAGCAGUAGGGAAUAUUCCACAAUGGGCGAAGGCCUGACGGAGCAACGCCGCGUGAGUGAUGAAGGUCUUCGGAUCGUAAAACUCUGUUAUUAGGGAAGAACAAAUGUGUAAGUAACUAUGCACGUCUUGACGGUACCUAAUCAGAAAGCCACGGCUAACUACGUG
rnacentral:rRNA from 1 species